GCGGCUACAAAAUCGUUGCCCUCCUCGGGAUCCGGUCUGUGAUCGAGGUCUACCCUUGAUUUUCUUAGGCCUUGUUUACUUCCCAUAAAAUUUUGUAAAAUUUUUCACAUUCUCCGUCACAUCGAAUCUUUAAACGUAUGCAUGGAGUAUUAAAUAUAAACGAAAAUAAAAACUAAUUGCACAGUUUGGUCGAAAUUGACGAGACGAAUCUUUUGAGUCUAGUUAGUCCAUGAUUGGACAAUAUUUGUCAAAUACAAACGAAAUUGCUACAGUGUCCAUUUCCCAAAAAUUUUCGAAACUAAACAAGGCCUUAGGACAAACGGACAAUCACACUGUUCUUCGUGUAAUCUGAACGCAAUGGUAAUAGAUUUUCGUCUGUGUCAUAUUCUACCUUUAUAAAAAAAAAAUUCUUAUAUAUACCAAUGAUCCGUGAUGUGAUAAGAUCAACUUUGAUACCAAACCAUUUUUUUUCUUAAAAACCUUCAGGUUCGUUCCGU
rnacentral:lncRNA from 1 species